GCUGCUGUGAUGAGGUGUCAAACAUGCCCGACGGCUAACCCCAGUAGUGUCCAUUCGGUGUCUGUCUGUCCACUCUCGUGUCCUCACGCCAGGUCCAGUCAACCUGCCCCAGCGCCAUCCCUUAUUUAAGUGUUUGUCCAGGGAGCCCUGUUGUCUCAAGCUUUAGUUGGAUCCUUGGGCAUCUCUGUGAAGGUGUGUACAAGCCUGAGUUCAUCUCCUUAGCCUCCGCGUCGGCUUUGUUCAGUUCAUCAAGUGCCAUUCCAUUGUCUGGUACUCUGGUGCCACAGCAACCAUCCUUCCACCUCGCCAUGGUCAGAGUAUCUCGAGAAGUUUGUUACCCAGAACGGAGUUGUGCCACCGCAGACCGGAGCCGUGAACAGCCUCUGCGUUGACCGAACAACUCACGCUUUCUCCGGUCGAUUCCUUGUGAGCACCAAAGUUUAGAAUUCCCAGAAGAAGAUGAUAAAAUUCAAGAAGUGGUUUCUGAAGAGGAGUCUGCUUCAGUGCCUGCUCAUCAAGUGAUGGGAGCCAUCUAACUGGGGUUUAAUAGAGGGAUUUAGACCUCCGUCUCUGCAACAAAGGCAAGCCCCGGUGCAUUUACCCCUUCCUUGUAUUUUUAAAAAGACUUUUAUACAUUUAAGUCUAGUGAAAUGAGCAUUAAGUUUAUAGGAGUUGCUUGGAAAUUAUUGGAUGCAUUGCCUACCUUGAUAUCCAUACCUUUAUAGAUACUUCUGGUGAAGUAUCAAAAUAUGAUUUACAAAAAUGCUUAGCUCUGCUUAGAUCUUGUGGAUAGAGGUUGUCUUUUGCAUUAAUGCCUAGCUCAGGGGUUAUCAUGAGGAAGGAUGGCUUCUACCUGCAAGAAUAUUUUCAUUGGGAGCAUGGUGGGAUCUUACUGCAAAGUUCUCUAUAAUGUGCUCUUUUCAUCCUAAGGAACACAAACAAUUCUAAGGAUGGAAGUACUUAAAUCGGGACUUGGGCUAGGAACAAGUGAUGUUCUACCCAGGUUAAUUAAGGAUUGGAUGCGUAUGUAGGCCUGUAUGAUCAAGGACUAUCUUAACUGGCCACAUGCCCUGGAUAUGGGACAGGGUAAGCUUGAACCCGGUUAUUCCAUACAUGAAAAGACAAUCGCGCACUGGGAGUGGAGAGAUGGCGAGAGUGGCACGUACCCUCUUGGCAAAGGACCGCCUAAAAGGGGUGGUGCGCUCUCGGGUGGCGCGGACCUGUUCAUGCAGUAGAGGAUCCGUGGGAACGGUAGACAUAUGCAAGGGUUAAGUGCUACAUAUGUCGUGUGGUUAGAGAUCCUCAGCUGAGUAAAUCGAUUCGGAUCGCCGUUAUAUCCCCGGAGAGUGGAGACUUGAUCGCUGCCCUGCAACCUAAGUCAGGAUGUGAACCUCAUGAAUAAAAAUGAUGUUGUAUUGAUGAGAUGGUGAGAUUAGACUAGAUGCAAACAGAGUCUAUUAAUAUUUAAUCUGGCGUUAAAAUAUUGAAAGUAAGGACUCACUUUAGUAAGCUAUUUCUGCAAAAGUAUCUAAGUUGAUUCUUGCUAAAGCCUUUUCCUUGAUUCCUAUUUAACCGGCAUAUCCUUGACAGUCAUUUUUCCUUAGUCGGGUAAGACUUGCGAAAGUACACUCCGUACUCAGGGUUUUCGAACCCAUGUUGUUGUAGGUGAUGAGGAGUUCUCUAUGUGUUCAUGAGGCUGGAGGGCGCUUCCAGUUCUAGAUGAGGAUUAGUUAGGCUUGUGUAUAAGGUUUGGAGGGUUCCUACCUUCCUGCUAGUGUAAUAAGUUAUGCACUUUGAGUAUAUCAGGACUUGUAAUAAAUGUAACUCUUCCUAUGUAAUAACCUUCAGUUUUAGAAAUGAAAAGAAUAUUUUUGUAAAAGUCUUCCGCUCUUAUCUCCGAACUGUGUGUAUCGAAUGUGAUUACUGUAAUAUGCAUGUAUGGUGGGAGAUCCUUGGGAUGAUGAGUUCAAGUUGUUGAACUCGUGAUAGCCUUCUUAAGUUACCUGGUACACGUGCAUAGCCAUCUGAGGCCAUCAAGGCAAGGAUUGGUGCAUGUGGGCUCGAUAACUUGGGAGGGCUGCCACACUCAUAAGUAUACCUUUGAUCAUGUCUCUUUUAUAUAUGCUAUGACUAAUGUGUUUUCAAGUGUAUUUCAAACCAAGUCAUAGGUAUAUUGAAAGGGAAUUGGAGUCUUCGGCGAAGACAAGGCUUCCACUCCACUCUCCGUCUUUGGUAUAAUCCUCACUCAUAUGUUUCAUUUGCCAAAGGGGAGAAAAUAGUCAACAAAAGGGCUCUAAUGAUUCCGUUUUUGGCGAUUCAUGCCAAAGGGGGAGAAAGGUUGAGCCCAAAGCAAAAGGACCGCACCACCACCAAUUUCAAAAACUUAGUAUUUUCCAAGAGCAUUUUUUUCAGUUGGUAUCUUAUUGAGUUCAAAAGGGGGAGAAAAUAGUUUUUCAACUUUAAUCAUCAAAACCCUCUUGAAAACUAAGAGGAUGAUUUCAUUCAGGGGGAGUUUUGUUUAGUCAAAGGAAAGACAUUUGAAACAGGGGGAGAAAAUUUCAAAACUUGAAAAUGCCUUGCAAACUCUUAUUCAUUUACCUUUGACUAUUUGCAAAAGAACUUUGAAAAGAUUUACAAAAGAUUUUUGCAAAAACAAAACAUAUGGUGCAAAAUGUGGUCCAAUAUGUCAAAAACAAAGAAACAAUCCAUGCGUAUCAUGUAAGUAUUCAUAUUGGCUCAAUUCCAAGCAACCUUUGCACUUACAUUAUGCAAACUAGUUCAAUUAUGCACUUCUAUAUUUGCUUUGUUUUGUGUUGGCAUCAAUCACCAAAAAGGGGGAGAUUGAAAGGGAAUUAGGCUUACACCUAGUCCCUAAAUAAUUUUGGUGGUUGAAUUGCCCAACACAAAUCUUUGGACUAACUAGUUUGCUCUAGUGUAUAAGUUAUACAGGUGCAAAAGGUUCACACUUAGCCAAUAAAAAGACCAAAAGUUGGGUUCAACACAAGAGCAAAGGAGCAACAGAAGGCUUCUCUGGUCUGGCGCACCGGACUGUCCGGUGUGCCACCGGACAUGUCCGGUGCACCAGGGGACUCCAACUUCGAACUGCUCGGCUUCGGGAAUUUCUAGAGGGCACUCCGCUAAAAUUCACCGGACAGUGUCCGGUGCUCCAAGGGAGGUCGUCCUCAGGAACUCGCCAGCCUCGGGUUUUCACUCCAGCCGCUCCGCUAUAAUUCACCGGACUGUCCGGUGUGCACCGGACUGUCCGGUGUGCACCGGACUGUCCGGUGCAUCUGCGGAGCAACGGCUACUUCAGGCGCCAACGGCUACCUGCAGCGCAUUUAUUGCGCGCCAGCGCGCGCAGAGGUCAGGCACGCCCAUGCUGUCGCACCGGACAUCCUACAGUACAUGUCCGGUGCGCCACCGGACAUCAAGGCGGGCCCAGAAGUCAGAACUCCAACGGUCAAUUUCCAACGGCACUGGUGACGUGGCUGGGGCACCGGACUGUCCGGUGUGCACCGGACUGUCCGGUGUGCCAUCGAACAGACGGCCUCCACCAACGGUCAUGUUUGGUGGUUGGAGCUAUAAAUACCCCAACCACCCCACCAUUCAUGGUAUCCAAGUUUUCCACUUCUCAACCACCUACAAGAGCUAGGCAUUCAAUUCUAGACACACCCAAAGAGAUCAAAUCCUCUCCAAUUCCAUACAAAGCCUAAGUGACUAGUGAGAGUGAUUUGCCGUGUUCAUUUGAGCUCUUGCGCUUGGAUUGCUUUCUCUCUUUCAUUCUUUCUUGUGAUCAAUACUCACUUGUAACCAAGGCAAGAGACACCAAUUGUGUGGUGGUCCUUGCGGGGAGGUUUUGCUCCCGGUUGAUUUGAGAAGAGAAAGCUCACUCGGUCCGAGGGACCGUUUGAGAGAGGGAAGGGUUGAAAGAGACCCGGCCUUUGUGGCCUCCUCAACGGGGAGUAGGUUUGAGAGAACCGAACCUCGGUAAAACAAAUCCGCUUGUCUCACUUCAUUAUUCGCUUGCGAUUUGUUUUGCGCCCUCUCUCGCGGACUCUAUUACAUUUCUAACGCUAACCCGGCUUGUAGUUGUGAUUAUUUUUGAGAAUUUCAGUUUCGCCCUAUUCACCCCCCCUCUAGGCGACUUUCAUCCCCCUUUUGGAAACCAAUGCUAUCCUUAAUGCCAGGGCGUCUCCCACUAUAGAGCAUGCUUCUAGCAAAUUUAAAUUUUUCGUUUUCUAAGUCAUGCUCGGCAAUUUUAGCAUCUAAUUUUGCUAUAUGAUCAUUUUUUUGUUUAAUUAAAGCCAUGUGAUCAUGUAUAGCAUUAACAUCAACAUCUCUACAGCUAGUGCAAAUAGUGACAUGCUCAGUGGUAGAUGUAGAGGGUUUGCAAGAAUUAAGUUCAACAAUCUUAGCACGCAAUAUAUUAUUUUUAUCUCUAAGAUCGGAAAUUGUAACAUUGCAAACAUUUAGUUCUUUAGCCUUAGCAAGCAAUUUUUCAUUCUCAUUUCUAAGGCUAGUAAGAGAAAUGUUUAAUUCUUCAAUCUUAGCAAGCAAAUCAUCAUUAUCAUUUCUAAGAUUGGCAAUUGAAACAUCACAAACAUUUGAAUCAACCUUAGCUAACAAAUUAGCAUUCUCAUUUCUAAGGUUGUCAAUAGUCUCAUGGCAAGUGCUUAGCUCAUUAGAUAGUUUUUCACAUUUUUCUACUUCUAGAGCGUAAGCAUUUUUAACCUUAACAUGCUUUUUGUUCUCUUUCUUAAGGAAAUCCUCUUGGGUGUCCAAGAGAUCAUCCUUCUCAUGAAUAGCACUAAUCAAUUCAUUUAAUUUUUCUUUUUGUUGCAUGUUUAGGUUGGCAAAAAGAAUGUGUAAGUUAUCCUCCUCAUUGCUAGCAUCAUCCUCAUCACUAGAGGUUUCAUAUUUAGUGGAGGAUCUUGAUUUUACCUUCUUCUUUUUGCCGUCCUUUGCCAUGAGGCACUUAUGGCCGACGUUGGGGAAGAGGAGGCCCUUGGUGACGGCGAUGUUGGCGGCGUCCUCGUCGGAGGAGGAGUCGGUGGAGCUCUCGUCGGAGUCCCACUCCCGGCAAACAUGGGCAUCGCCGCCCUUCUUCUUGUAGUACUUCUUCUUCUCCUUUCUUCUCUCCUUCUUGUCGUCGCCCCUGUCACUGUCACUAGAAAGUGGACAUUUUGCAAUAAAAUGACCGGGCUUAC